rnacentral:rRNA from 1 species
GUAGCAGAAUAGUUUGUUCUUUAAUUGGGAGUUGGUAUGAAGGGUUGAACAAAAAGUAUCUUUUAUAUUAAAUUAAGUAAAUUAAAUUUUAAGUUAAAAUGCUUAAAUAGUAUAAAGGGACGAUAAGACCCUAAAAGCUUAAUGUAUUUUUGAUUAUAUUAUAAUAUAUUGUAAAAUUAUAAAAAAAAUAGAAUUAGCUGGGGAAGUGAUUUUGUGGAAUUAAAAUAGGAGGGAAUUAAUGUUAAGAUUUAAGGUCUUUAAAAUAAGAAUUAAUGGAGGAAGUUACUUUAGGGAUAACAGCGCAAUGAUCUUGGAGAGUUCUUAUUUAUAAAAUUAUGUGCGACCUCGAUGUUGAAUUAAAAAGUCUUAGGGGAGCAGAGAAUCUGUAAGAGGGUUUGUUCAACCUUUAAAUUUUU